CUCCUGAGUCUGCAGAAGCAGAGUAAAAGAUCCCUAUGAUGACUGAAGGAAAAGAAAAAUCAAGAGUCCCUCUCACGCUGCUGUCAUCAUACAGACCUGAGCAACUUCUUUUGGCCCGAUCAGAGGAAAAUAUUCUGAACUUUAACAUCACUGGUUUGAAUCUGCAAUUCGGGCUGUGCUGUAAGAUCAUGUAAAGCUGAGGUGGUACCAGACAGACGUGGCACAGCUAUGCUGCUUUCUAAAAUACUGCGUGCUUCAGAGAGGAAACCUCGUUGUAGCUGAGAGGGCAAAAAGAAAGAACGAUUCCAAUCCUUGAACCUGUCUUCUCUUCACAUCAAUGCGAAGACUCCUCAAGGAAACUUUAAGACAACUGGGAGUUUUGCUGACAACUCUGAAGGGUUCAUACACACACUAUCUGAAACAAUGCCAGAAAACUCUGAAUGUGCUGCUUCUGGGGGGGUCGUUUUACUUAGCUGCAAAAGCCUUUAACCUUAGUGCAGUAUCACUGACGUGACAAUGAUUAACGUUUCACCUUCUUAAAAAGCCCAACAAUUGGGAUUAUUAUUAACAAGCAAAUUAUUCCUUUUAUUUUUCUUUUUUUCUCUCUCUGGGCCUUUUUUAUUUUUAUUUUUUUAAAUUAUUAUUAUUUAUUUCCCAGAGUUGUUUCAUUGGCUGCAAUCCUGGCUAGCAUUCCCCUUGAACUCUUCAUAAAUUGCCACAUAACCACGUGCAGGCUCAAGCAUGAUGUUUAGGAGGCUUGUAUGAUCAAGCCUGCUGAGCACUGAAUUGCAUAGCCAGUCCUUAAGAGGAAAGGCUGUUCAUAUAAAUAAUUUAUUCACCCUACCAUUUGCAGUGAUUUUUUUUUUUUUCAUUAUCAACACAAGAAUAUCUCCUGUG
ensembl:lncRNA